GAUGAACGCUGGCGGCACGCCUAAUACAUGCAAGUCGAACGAGAGGAAGGAAAGCUUGCUUUUCUGAAUCUAGUGGCGAACGGGUGAGUAACACGUAGGUAACCUGCCCAUGUGCCCGGGAUAACUUCUGGAAACGGAUGCUAAAACCGGAUAGGUAGCAGACAAGCAUUUGACUGCUAUUAAAGUGGCUAAGGCCAUGAACAUGGAUGGACCUGCGGUGCAUUAGCUAGUUGGUGAGGUAACAGCCCACCAAGGCGACGAUGCAUAGCCGGCCUGAGAGGGCGGACGGCCACAUUGGGACGGAGACACGGCCCAAACUCCUACGGGAGGCAGCAGUAGGGAAUUUUCGUCAAUGGGGGGAACCCUGAACGAGCAAUGCCGCGUGAGUGAGGAAGGUCUUCGGAUCGUAAAGCCCUGUUGUAAGAGAAAAACGACAUUCAUAGGGAAUGAUGAGUGAGUGAUGGUAUCUUACCAGAAAGUCACGGCUAACUACGUGCCAGCCGCCGCCGUAACAC
rnacentral:rRNA from 1 species